UCCGGAUGGAGUUGUUCCUCGCCACCUAAGCGCCGAUGUGUUCCGAAACCCCACAAGUUCCUCGAACCCCUUCACUUCAAUCCGAUAGAAUGCACGCGACCUAUUUGCUUGCAGCGGUCCAAAUAAAACUUUCCGUGAGUGGAUUUUCACCAAACUUUCAACGUACACCCAUGCACCAUGAGGCUUUCAGCUCAACUGAUGUCUGCUGUCUUCAUGCGUCUCCUCCCGCUGAUCCGCCACUCAAUUCCCGAUGAGGCCUCUGGGGACGCAUUAAAGAUCACAAGAGGUCGCUUGUCUAGGCGGCAGCGUCAAGGUCUGCUGUCCUGACCUUCCACAAGCUAACAUCUCCCGUCCACGCUAACUGAUUGAAGACGUUCCUAAGCGUAAACGCUUGUUUCUUGUUAGUAAGAAAGCAACGAAAAGCACGCACAGAGGUGAACGUUUGCUCAAGAACUUCACUUCAAGAUCUUCACUGUACGGAACAAAGGCUAAUGACAGUAAGAAACUCGUUGUGAUUUUGAAACUACUGAAACAACAAGGUUGGGAGAUGUCGAAAACGAGUGGACUUAUAUGAUCUGAUCGACGGCCGCAUCGGGAAAAUGCAAAUAAGCUGCGUUUUCAAUCAGCUACUGCAGCGGGCAGCCACCAAACUAGAACUAUUAUACUGUACGACACUGUAGACUAGAAGAUCCCUAGACGACAGAAAUACACUAGCAGCGUGUUCGGGUCCAUGAUAAAAGCGAGUGGAGAAAGGCGGCCGAAAGAGCGGUGGCAGAACGAGACGACCGUCGAGGAUAGGACAAAACGAGGCAUAGGCCUCUGGCAAAUUUCUAGGCCGAAUGCACCGCCGGUGCAGUUUAAUCAAAUGUUCGUGUAUAAAGGACAGAUUAGAUAGUGGAUCCAUAAGGCGUUACCGAGUGUAUCGGCAGUGGGAACUGUGAACGUCAGUGCUCUGUAAGACGCGCCAUCGUGGGCUUAUGAAGUUUAAACGGAAAAAAAAAAGAAAGUGGAUGAAAUUAUCUAAUAAUCGACAAUAGAACAUAGGAACAUUCAAGCAUAUGAUAUCUCUGGUCUCUCGACACAUUGUAAAGAAGUUCGCAACACAUUUAUCUUGCUGCCACCCUAGUGGAUGAGGUUCAAGCUCGUCUGCUGCUAGGAUGAAAACGUUUACGUAUAGCCUAUUCGUUACAGGCGUUUGUUUGCUGUAACAGGUACAAAAACAUUGACCCAGUGGUAAGAAAGCUGCUCGCUAACGUAGAGAUCUGUGUGCUUACUUACCGGC